rnacentral:lncRNA from 1 species
UGCCACUCUAAUAAAUUCACAGCUACCAACCAAGAAAUGGGCUGUCAACACUGCCCAACGGACAUAUGUUUCUAUGAUCAAGUCUCCACAAUGCCUUUUUCAAAACUUAAUUUGGAGCAAAUAAUUUUACCUUCUUGUUAGCUACCGAAACCAAAUCCAUAUGCAGCCUAUGUUACCAUAUCCUCAUUUGUAUGCAUCCUGUUGACUAUAUCUACAUUUAUAUGCAACCUAUAUUCUCCUAAUACGGUAGAGAAGCUGCCCAUCUUCCUUGUUAAGCUUCCCAUCUUGUUGGGUUUGUUCUAUGUUGAUUGUCUUUUUCUUUUGAUGAUUAAUCAUGUUUUUCUACUUCUUUGUUGAGUAAUUGUGAAUAGUAUCUAGUGGUUAUGAAUGAUCUGGGCUUUAGAGAUUACAGAAGAAAGUAUUUGCAGAAUUAGGGUUCAAGCUCUCUUGUUCUCUCUUUUAAAGGAUUGCCUCUAUCAUUUUGUAGCAGCAGUGGCUGCCCCCUAGUCUUCUGGUUCUUUAAUCCAAUAAGACAGUAAAGUUUUCAUAAGAGUUUUAGCUGCCCAUGUUAGUGAUGACUGUGGCCUGCCUUCAGGCUAAAUGCCUUAAAAAUGAAAAACUCUAGUGCUCUGCCCACCUUCCAAUUGUUGAUUACCUUCCAGUUUCUGCUGUUCUUCUCUCUCCAGCAGUUGUUUUUUCUACUACCGUUUUAUCAUUUGUUUUCUGGUUGUUUUGUGGCCUUCCUUCCCUCCUUCUUGCUUGCCUGCUUACGUGAUUUUCUCAGUGGUGUGUUUCAAUAUCUUGCUUUUUCUUGUUUGUGUAUCUGUUGUAGGAUUUUUUAUUUGAGGUUGCUAUCAGGUUUGCAAAUAAUAUAACUCAUUAUUUUAAACUGAUGACAAUUUAACACUAAUUUCAAAAACUAACAGAGAAAACUAAUAAAAAUUCUACAAUUUAACUUCAUCGCUUCUGCUUUUUAACUUUUGGUUAUUUCUGUUUAUAUCUUAUUAUACUGUCUAUGUUCUGAAAAGUUGUUGUAGUUAUUUUUGAUAGGUUCAUCUUUUAGUCUUUCUAUUCAAGAUAUGGAUAGUUUACACACCACAAUUACAGUGUUAUAAUAUUCUAUGUUUGUCUAUGUACUUACUAUUGCCAGUGAGUCUUGUACCUUCAGAUGAUUUCUUGUUUCUCAUUAACAUUCUUUUCUUUCAGAGCGAAGAAAUCCCUUUGGCAUUACUUGUAUGAUAGGCUUAGUGUUGAUGAAAUUCCUCAGCUUUU